CCUCAAAGUUCUUAACAAAUUUCUUAGUUAAUUUAUUUAAGCUGUUAAUGAUUUCGUGUGUCGGUGUAUUUCUGUGGGGAUAUCUUAUCGGAUAAAGGGGGGACACAAUAGAGAUUAAGUGGGAGAUUGCGGUGGGUUAAACCGCAGCAUUGUACGAUAAUUAAUUCGUAAAGGAUAUAACGAUAAGAGGGUUGCGGUGCGUCGUUUGAUCCGUAACGAUUCGACGGGGAGAAAAUAAAGGAUCCGGCGUCAAUUCAGCGCGGGCGUAAACGAAAUCUGGGAUGAAGCCGCCCCUAUUUCGCGUUAAAACUCUAGGAUGAGAAAGAGGAAACGAAGGAGGAGGAAAAAUGGGGGGCGUUUUUUGAGUUAAUUGGAUUUGAAGGGGUGCACUUCCGGUCUUACGAGCUUCCGACGUCGUCCACGUCGAGAAUAAUUAAAUUUUUAAAUCAUUUUUCAAGAAAAUUAAAUUUAAAAGUAACUUAACCUCAAAAAAUUGAUGUCAUCUCGAUUUAAAAAAGGAAUUAUUUUCGUUUUCGCAUUCUCUCGAUUAAAAAGUAUACAUUUUAAAUCGUACCCCUCUGCCGUUGACGGGUGCCUUUCAAAUUGAACGCGUUUUACACGUGGGCCGCCCCCGUCGGAUGGAUUUUUCCGGGCCACUCCUCUCCCCCACAGAGUUUUCCCUCAACCUCCACGUUUCAAAACGCACUAAAAAAGUAACAUUUUUUCGAACCGUAAUCUAUUUAUCGACAAUUAAUUGAGAUUAAAUCCUAAAUUCUUCGUUUAAUCCACAUAUCGUUUAGGGAUUGUUGAUUAACUCGGGAUGUUUUGGGGGGGACGUUUUAUUAAUUUCAACCUCGAAUAAUGCACGCACGUCAAUUGACGAAUAAUCGACCGAGGGGGCCCCAUGGUUUUCCGAAACAAUGGACCUGUUGUGGUGGUUCUAUUCAAACGUCGGGGAUUGAAACAUUUUCUACUCAACGCGCCGACACUUUACAUAUUUGCGUUAAUAAAUCGCGAAAUAAAUUAAAAAGGAUUCACUUAUUGUGUUGGAUUAUUUUUAUUGUUUGAGGUUAUGUCGCAUUGUA